CGUACGAGCGCACCCUUAUCCUUAGUUGCUAGCAGGUUAUGCUGAGAACUCUAGGGAGACUGCCGGUGACAAACCGGAGGAAGGUGGGGACNACGUCAAGUCAUCAUGGCCCUUACGGCCUGGGCUACACACGUGCUACAAUGGUCGGUACAGAGGGUUGCCAANCCGCGAGGUGGAGCUAAUCCCAGAAAACCGAUCGUAGUCCGGAUUGGAGUCUGCAACUCGACUCCAUGAAGUCGGAAUCGCUAGUAAUCGCGAAUCAGAAUGUCGCGGUGAAUACGUUCCCGGGCCUUGNACACACCGCCCGU
rnacentral:rRNA from 1 species